GACGAACGCUGGCGGCGUGCUUAAUACAUGCAAGUCGAGCGAGGUUACUGUUUCGGAUCCCUUCGGGGUGAAGAAGCUUUAACCUAGCGGCGGACGGGUGAGUAACGCGUGGGUAACCUACCCCAAAGUCCGGGAUAACAGCGGGAAACCGCUGCUAAUACCGGAUGCCUUUACCUUGGGGCAUCUUGAGGUAAAGAAAGGUAACGCUUUGGGAUGGGCCCGCGUCCCAUUAGCUAGUUGGUGAGGUAACGGCUCACCAAGGCGACGAUGGGUAGCCGGCCUGAGAGGGUGGACGGCCACACUGGGACUGAGACACGGCCCAGACUCCUACGGGAGGCAGCAGUAGGGAAUAUUGCGCAAUGGACGGAAGUCUGACGCAGCGACGCCGCGUGAGCGAUGAAGGUCUUCGGAUCGUAAAGCUCUGUCCUUGGGGAAGAGGCGAAAGCUUGACGGUACCCAAGAAGAAAGCCCCGGCUAACUACGUG
rnacentral:rRNA from 1 species